GGGCUGCAGUAUUUUGACUGUACAAAGGUAGCAUAAUCAAUAGUCUUUUAAUUGGUGACUUGUAUGAAAGAUUGGAUGAAAUAUAUACUGUCUCUAAAUAAUUUUUAGAAAUUAAUUUUUUAGUUAAAAAGCUAAAAUAAUUUUAAAAGACGAGAAGACCCUAUAGAGUUUAAUAAUUUAUUUUAUUAUUAUUAUUAUAUAAUUUUUAAAAUUAAAAUUAAAUAAAUUAUUUUGUUGGGGUGAUAAAAAAAUUAAAUUAACUUUUUUUAGUUUUUUACAUUGAUUUAUGAUUAUAUGAUCCAUUAAUAGUGAUAAAAAGAAAAAAUUACCUUAGGGAUAACAGCGUAAUUUUUUUUUUUAGUUCAAAUAGGAAAAAAAGUUUGCGACCUCGAUGUUGGAUUAA
rnacentral:rRNA from 1 species